UUUAUACCAGCUGCAGCCGCAGCUAACCACAAACACUCUGUUCCCCUCCUUCCACCAGCCGCAUGUAAUCAUUUUCACAUCUUAGAAGCUUGUAAGUAGAAAGAAGAUUACUUGUUACAUUCACUAUCGUCUAAAAUCAAACGAACCAAAUACUGCAAUUUGUGAGCUUGGAGUUUCACUACAUAUAGCUUUAUUGUAGAGAUCUGAUGCUAAUCCCUGAUCAUUAUGAUUUUAAUUUCUUGUCGUCAUCUACAAUCUCCUUUCUUUGGUUGUUUAUUGGUGAUGACAUGGUUUUAUUUUUCUAUGUCAACUUCGACUCGAGUGUGAUUUCUUUGAUUAAAAAAGUGAAAAAUUCCAACAUAAUGGGCUGUUCAGAAGGUUGGCGGCAUAAACACGAUACCGAGCAAUUCAACACAUAACGCAGGCUCAUACGGUAUGUAAACUAUGCUAAGAAAAACCUGGUUGGUGCCUGCGGACCGAUGUUAAUCUUAUGGUUUUUAGCUGUACAGAGACACUAAUAAAAAGGUUAUAAAUCCAACACACACAGAGAGAGCCCUGUACACAAAGUAGGACAUUAGAAAUUCAGCUCGAAUCCCUCCAUGCAAACCACCACAAUCUCUUUUCCAACAUCAUCUUCUAUCCAUACAAUUUUUUGGGUUUCAACUCCACAGUUAAUUUUCCAUUUUGGAAGAAGAUUUCAUCUGGAACGUUGCUGAAGACAUAGAUAUCAUGGGACCUAAAGAUUGCAUCUGGAACAUUGGUUAAGACAGACAUCAUGGGACCCAAAGAUCAACAUUCAAAGACAUUCAAGAAGUUCAAAAGGAUGGCUCCAUAAAAAUUAUACUAACAAAUUUAAUUUAGAUUUUCUGUUUACGAUUACGGUGAAAUUUUUGAAUUCUAGUAAUGACAUUCAAGAUUUUGAUAAUUAUUAAUAUUGAUCUUGGCUUGAAUUAUCUUUUA